GGAAGUGGGGAUGACGUCAAGUCCUCAUGGCCUUAUGUCCAGGGCUACACACGUGCUACAAUGGACGGUACAGAGGGUCGCAAUAUCGCGAGAUGGAGCCAAUCCCAAAAAGCCGUUCCCAGUUCGGAUUGGAGUCUGCAACUCGACUCCAUGAAGUUGGAAUCGCUAGUAAUCGCGGAUCAGCAUGCCGCGGUGAAUACGUUCCCGGGCCUU
rnacentral:rRNA from 1 species